UCCCUGGUGGCUCAGCGGGUAAAGCACCUGCCCACAAUGUGGGAGACCCAGGUUCAAUUCCUGGGCUGGGAA
rnacentral:tRNA from 1 species